rnacentral:rRNA from 1 species
GAUGAACGCUAGCGGCAGGCUUAAUACAUGCAAGUCGAGGGGCAGCAGGGGUGUAGCAAUACAUCUGCUGGCGACCGGCAAACGGGUGCGGAACACGUACGCAACUUACCCAUAACUGGGGGACUAGCCCGGGGAAACCCGGAUUAAUACCUCGUAAGAUAAUGGAGUGGCAUCACUUUAUUAUUAUAGCUCCGGCGGUUAUGGAUGGGCGUGCGGCUGAUUAGGUAGUUGGUGCGGGUAACGGCCCACCAAGCCUGCGAUCAGUAACUGGUGUGAGAGCACGACCAGUCACACGGGCACUGAGACACGGGCCCGACUCCUACGGGAGGCAGCAGUAAGGAAUAUUGGUCAAUGGACGCAAGUCUGAACCAGCCAUGCCGCGUGAAGGAUGAAGGUCCUCUGGAUU